rnacentral:lncRNA from 1 species
GUCCUGCUUCUAAUUUGCUCGGCCUUAUGGGGGUGCAGUUACCACAAGAUACAAAGAAGGGCAAUUGAAGAUACUGAAAUAUUUAUCUGGGUUUAAGUUUUGGGAUUCUUUAAUGAUAUUCAUCUGGAUGGCAUAUUUCCCAACAUGUUUACUAUCCUUUAUUUUUUUCACGUUGGGUAGGCACCUGGUUAGCAGAGGGCAUAUGGGAAUGCUUGCUAGUAAUGGUGUAACUUCACCAGGUUUUGGCACUUGAUAAGGGUUUGCC